UCCCUGGUGGUCCAAUGGUUAAGACUCUGUGCUCCUAAUGCAGGGAUCCAGGUUCCAUUCCUGGUCAGGGAA